GGGGGUUUAGCUCAGUGGUAGAGCGCUUGCCUAGCAAAUGCAAGGCCCUGGGUUCGGUCCCCAGCUCCG
rnacentral:tRNA from 1 species